UACAGGGGGGGCAAGCGUUGUUCGGAAUUACUGGGCGUAAAGGGCUCGUAGGUGGCCAACUAAGUCGGACGUGAAAUCCCUCAGCUUAACUGGGGAACUGCGUCCGAUACUGGAUGGCUCGAGUUUGGGAGAGGGAUGCGGAAUUCCAGGUGUAGCGGUGAAAUGCGUAGAUAUCUGGAGGAACACCGGUGGCGAAGGCGGCAUCCUGGACCAACACUGACACUGAGGAGCGAAAGCCAGGGGAGCAAACGGG
rnacentral:rRNA from 1 species